AACGAACGCUGGCGGCGCGUCUUAAGCAUGCAAGUCGAACGGCAAGAGGAAAGCUUGCUUUUCUCCUAGAGUGGCGGACUGGUGAGUAACACGUGGGUGACGAACCCUCCUGACAGGGAUAGCUGGUAGAAAUAUCAGAUAAUACCGGAUACGAACUCUAUAGUUAGAGUAUAGAGAGGAAAGGUGCUUUGGCACCGCAGGGGGAUCGGCUCGCGGCCUAUCAGCUAGUUGGCAGGGUAAAGGCCUGCCAAGGCGACGACGGGUAUCCGGCCUGAGAGGGUGGACGGACACAUUGGGACUGAGAUACGGCCCAGACUCCUACGGGAGGCAGCAGCUAAGAAUAUUCCGCAAUGGGCGAAAGCCUGACGGAGCGACGCCGCGUGGACGAUGAAGGCCGAAAGGUUGUAAAGUCCUUUUGAACCUGAAGAAUAAGUUUAAGAGGGAAUGCUUAAGCGGUGACAGAAAGGUUUGAAUAAGCAACGGCUAAUUACGUGCCAGCAGCCGCGGUAACACGUAAGUUGCGAGCGUUGUUCGGAAUUAUUGGGCGUAAAGGGCAUCUAGGCGGUCAUUCAAGCUUGGUGUGAAAUACCGGGGCUUAACUCCGGGGCUGCAUUGAGAACUGGAUGACUGGAGUCACUGAAGGGCAACCAGAAUUCCAGGUGUAGGGGUGAAAUCUGUAGAUAUCUGGAAGAAUACCAAUGGCGAAGGCAGGUUACCGGCAGAUGACUGACGCUGAAGUGCGAAGGUGCGGGGAGCAAACAGGAUUAGAUACCCUGGUAGUCCGCACAGUCAACAUGUACACUCGGUGUCCGGCCAAGAGGCUGGGUGCCAAAGCAAACGCGAUAAGUGUACCGCCUGGGGAGUAUGCCCGCAAGGGUGAAACUCAAAGGAAUUGACGGGGGCCCGCACAAGCGGUGGAGCAUGUGGUUUAAUUCGAUGGUACGCGAGGAACCUUACCUGGGUUUGACAUACACAGCGAUCAUAUAGAGAUAUGUGAGCGUAGCAAUACGGCUGUGAGCAGGUGCUGCAUGGCUGUCGUCAGCUCGUGCCGUGAGGUGUUGGGUUAAGUCCCGCAACGAGCGCAACCCCUACUGCCAGUUACCAGCAUGUAAAGAUGGGGACUCUGGCGGAACUGCCGGUGACAAACCGGAGGAAGGUGGGGAUGACGUCCAGUCAUCAUGGCCCUUAUGUCCAGGGCAACACACGUGCUACAAUGGUCGCGACAGAGUGAAGCGAAGUCGAGAGGCGAAGCAAAACGCACAAAAGCGAUCGUAGUCCGGAUUGGAGUCUGAAACCCGACUCCAUGAAGUUGGAAUCGCUAGUAAUCGCACAUCAGCACGGUGCGGUGAAUACGUUCCCGGGCCUUGUACACACCGCCCGUCACACCAUCCGAGUAGAGGAUACCCGAAGCCAGUGGUUCAACCGCAAGGAGGGCGCUGUCGAAGGUAUGCUUUGUA
rnacentral:rRNA from 1 species